UAAUGAAACUUCAAAGUCGGCCAAAGGUUGUUGCUGGUGAUCACUCACAUGUGCACGCCUCUUGGUCGCAAAUCCACACACACCUGUGCAUCUAUGACUCGAGGUUGUAACGACUGAGAGUAACUUUUACACACUCUUGUAUGUAAUGGAAUGUCUUUUUGUGCUAUAAUGUACAAUAUAAACAACUUUCAACAACGGAUCUCUUGGCUCUCGCAUCGAUGAAGAACGCAGCGAAAUGCGAUAAGUAAUGUGAAUUGCAGAAUUCAGUGAAUCAUCGAAUCUUUGAACGCACCUUGCACCCUUUGGUAUUCCGAAGGGUACGCCCGUUUGAGUGUCAUUGUAAUCUCACUUCUACAACUUUGUUGUUGUUUGAAUGUGGACUUGGAUGCUGCCGUUUUAUCACGGCUCGUCUUAAAUGCCUGAGUGUACCCUGUUUUGCAGCGUAUCCAGUGUAAUAAACAUUUCACUAGAGUUGGUCGAAAGACCGCGUUGACAUAUGGGCUCUAUGCUUCAAACCGUCUGCCAUGUGGACAAUUUCUUGACAAUUUGACCUCAAAUCGGGUGGGACUACCCGCUGAACUUAAGCAUAUCAAUAAGCGGAGGAAAAGAAACUAACAAGGAUUCCCCUAGUAACGGCGAGUGAAGAGGGAAAAGCUCAAAUUUUGAAUCUGGUGUCUUUGACUCCCGAGUUGUAAUCUAGAGAAGUGUUUUCCGUGUCGGACCGUGUACAAGUUCCCUGGAACGGGGCGUCAUAGAGGGUGAGAAUCCCGUAUAUGCCAYGGACUACCGAUGCUCUGUGAUACACUCUCAACGAGUCGAGUUGUUUGGGAAUGCAGCUCAAAAUGGGUGGUAAAUUCCAUCUAAAGCUAAAUAUUGGCGAGAGACCGAUAGCGAACAAGUACCGUGAGGGAAAGAUGAAAAGCACUUUGGAAAGAGAGUGAAACAGUACGUGAAAUUGUUGAAAGGGAAGCGUUUGAAGUCAGUCGCAUCUGUUGGGGUUCAGCCUGGCUUUUGCCUGGUGUAUUUCCUUUCCGAUGGGUCAGCAUCAGUUUCGACCGAGGGAAAAAGACAUUUGGAAUGUGGCUGUCUUCGGGCAGUGUUAUAGCCUUGUGUUGUAUGUCUCGGUUGGGACUGAGGAUUGCAGCGCGCCAUAAAUGGCCGGGGGUCGCUCCUCUCGACACGCGCUUAGGAUGCUGGCAUAAUGGCUUUAAGCGACCCGUCUUGAAACACGGACCAAGGAGUCUAACAUGUGCGCGAGUGUUUGGGUGUAAAACCCGAGCGCGUAAUGAAAGUGAAAGGUCGGGAUCAUUCAUUUGUGCACCGACGCCCGGAGCUGACCUUCUGUGACGCAUCCGCGGUAGAGCGUAUAUGUUGGGACCCGAAAGAUGGUGAACUAUGCCUGAAUAGGGUGAAGCCAGAGGAAACUCUGGUGGAGGCUCGUAGCGAUUCUGACGUGCAAAUCGAUCGUCAAAUUUGGGUAUAGGGGCGAAAGACUAAUCGAACCAUCUAGUAGCUGGUUCCUGCCGAAGUUUCCCUCAGGAUAGCAGAAACUCGUAUCAGCCUUGUGCGGUAAAGCGAAUGAUUAGAGGCCUUGGGGUUGAAACAACCUUAACCUAUUCCAAACUCUAAAUGUGCAAGACAGAGUUGUCACUUGAUUGGACUUCUCUCUGGGUGAGAGUUUCUAGUGGGC
rnacentral:rRNA from 1 species